rnacentral:rRNA from 1 species
GACAGAGGGUGCAAACGUUGUUCGGAAUUACUGGGCGUAAAGCGCGUGUAGGCUGCUUCGCAAGUCGGCUGUGAAAGCCCUGGGCUCAACCCAGGAAGUGCAUUCGAAACUGCAGAGCUGGAGUCCUGGAGAGGAAGGCGGAAUUCUCGGUGUAGAGGUGAAAUUCGUAGAUAUCGAGAGGAACACCGGUGGCGAAGGCGGCCUUCUGGACAGUGACUGACGCUGAGACGCGAAAGCGUGGGGAGCAAACAGG